CCUACGGGGAGCAGCAGUAGGGAAUAUUGCUCAAUGGGGGAAACCCUGAAGCAGCAACGCCGCGUGGAGGAUGAAGGUUUUCGGAUUGUAAACUCCUUUUGUUAGAGAAGAUAAUGACGGUAUCUAACGAAUAAGCACCGGCUAACUCCGUGCCAGCAGCCGCGGUAAUACGGAGGGUGCAAGCGUUACUCGGAAUCACUGGGCGUAAAGAGCGAGUAGGCGGGAUAGCAAGUCAGAUGUGAAAUCCUAGGGCUUAACCAUAGAACUGCAUUUGAAACUGUUAUUCUAGAGUAUGGGAGAGGUAGGUGGAAUUCUUGGUGUAGGGGUAAAAUCCGUAGAGAUCAAGAGGAAUACUCAUUGCGAAGGCGACCUGCUAGAACAUAACUGACGCUGAUGCGCGAAAGCGUGGGGAGCAAACAGGAUUAGAUACCCGGGUAGUC
rnacentral:rRNA from 1 species